rnacentral:lncRNA from 1 species
GAAAGAUUACUCUUCGUGUUUGCCUGUUAUCUUUUUACUUGCCGAUGGGAAAAGCGCGCAAACAAUCUUCAUGUCUAGGCAUGAGACGCUUGUUUUUUCUUCUAGAAAGCAGGAG